GGAUGAAGAGCAUGAACAAGAGAGAAAGAGAAAGAAACAGAGAGGCACAGAGAUAGAGACAGAGACCCAGUGGGGCUGCCUGGACAAGGUUCCAAAACCAAAGCUUUCUGAGAAACCCAUACCUAAGAUUGCCGUCAAGCCCUGUUGUCUCUGUCAUUUACCAGGGCUCCACUCUGAAAUGCAACUAUUAGGCUCCAUUUGGAGUCUUUCUAAGGAUAAAACACCUUCAUUCUUACAAUAUUACACAGCCAGGAAAAAGGCAGCAGGAAUUCCUACUUCAGUGAAGUCUGGUCUUUGUCUUUUGUCUUUUACAGGUGAGAGGACCAUAAAGAGCUGAAAGAACACCACCACCCACUUCAGUGUACAAAACAAUAAAGGUGUGAAGAAUUUCCUUAUCACUUCAUACCCAUCACUCUCCAAAGUCACAAGAUGGUUGUUACCCUCUCAGUUUAUUAGCUUUGGUUGUUCUUGGUAUUUGUAGUAGCCAGGGAAGACAAUAAAAACAAAGUUAGGCACUGGUGGCUCACACCUGUAAGCCUAGAUACUCUGAAGACUAAGAGCUGAGGAUGGAAGUUUGAAACCAGCCCAGGCAGGAAAGCUCAUGAGACUCUU